AACGAACGCUGGCGGCGUGCCUAAGACAUGCAAGUCGUGCGGAAAGGCUCCUUCGGGAGUACUCGAGCGGCGCACGGGUGAGUAACACGUGGGUAACCUACCUGAGGGUCUGGGAUAACUCCGGGAAACUGGGGCUAAUACCAGAUGAGACCACAGCGUCUUCGGGCGCAGCGGUCAAAGAUGGCCUCUCCUUGGAAGCUAUCGCCUACAGAUGAGCCCGCGUCCCAUUAGCUAGUUGGCGGGGUAACGCCCACCAAGGCGACGAUGGGUAGCUGGUCUGAGAGGAUGAUCAGCCACACUGGAACUGAGACACGGUCCAGACUCCUACGGAGGCAGCAGUCGGGAAUUUUGGGCAAUGGGCGAAAGCCUGACCCAGCAACGCCGCGUGAGGGAUGAAG
rnacentral:rRNA from 1 species